UAUUAUUAGUAAAUAAAAUUUAUUAUUUUUUAGUUUUUAUAUUAAUAUAUUAAAUAAAACUUUCUUGUUUAAGAAAUAAUGAUUAAAUUAGUAUAAAAUUUAUGUUAAAAUUUUUAAUAGAUCAAGUUUAAAUUAAGGAAUUCGGCAAUUUAUUUUCUGCCUGUUUAUUAAAAACAUGUCCUUUUGAUUUUAUUUAAGGUCUAACCUGCCCAAUGAUUAUUUUAAUGGCUGCAAUAUUAAAUUGUGCGAAGGUAGCAUAAUAAUUAGUUUCUUAAUUAGAAGCUGGAAUGAAUGGUUUGACAAGAAAAUUACUGUCUCUAUUUAAUUUUUUUUAGAAUUUAACUUUUUAGUAAAAAGGCUAAAAUAGUUUUAAAAGACGAGAAGACCCUAUAGAAUUUUAUAAACGUUUCUAUUUAAUAAUUUUAAAAUUUUUACAAAAAUUAGGAAAAUUUAUUUUGUUGGGGUGAUAAGAAAAUUUAAUAAACUUUUCCUUUUUAUGUUCAUUGAUUUAUGA
rnacentral:rRNA from 1 species